UCAGCCUCACCCAUGUCACUUAGUUCCUGUGCACGCAUUCAUGCUUUAUUUAAACUGAUGGCCCCCUGACGGGGAAAAGUGCUGUCCCCUGGCUUUGGGGUGAAGGCUCCUUAACUGAGCUUUUAAAUAGACCGGGCGGAGGUGGGGGAUGUGAGAGGACGGAGGGAAAGAACCUUUGCUAGGCUGCUGGGAUUCUAUUUUCUCCAGCGAGAAUGGAAGCCUCGGACUGUAAGCACGCAAAGGAACCCGAGUGUACAGACAGCGUGUCUGCCAGCACAGAGUUCUCUGUCGGGAGGAAUAGAGGCAGGAAAUAAGAAAGAACAGUGAGAGGAUCUGUGUUGUUUCCGUUUUACUAAUUGAUAGACCCGUCACCCUUGCUUCCUGCAAGCCGGGACCGCUCAGUUGUCCACUUGGGGUCAUAUCGGUCCCUCCAACGGUAUUUGAAGAGUUGUCAGGUUGCCCGGGGUCUGUGCUCUAAUCAACCUCGCAUGUGCCACUGCUCCCGGUUCU